rnacentral:rRNA from 1 species
AAUCAACGCUGGCGGCGUGCCUCAGACAUGCAAGUCGAACGCGAAAGUUCCCUUCGGGGGGCGAGUAGAGUGGCGCACGGGUGAGUAACACGUAGGUAAUCUACCUUUGGGUGGGGAAUAACAGCCGGAAACGGCUGCUAAUACCGCAUAAUGCAGCGGCUCGACAUCGAGACAGUUGUUAAAGCGGGGGAUCGCAAGACCUCGCGCCUAAAGAGGAGCCUGCGGCGGAUUAGCUUGUUGGUGAGGUAAUGGCUCACCAAGGCAUCGAUCCGUAGCCGGCCUGAGAGGGCGGUCGGGCCACACUGACACUGACAUACGGGUCAGACUCCUACGGGAGGCAGCAGUCGGGAAUUUUGGGCGAAUGGGCGCAAGCCUGACCCAGCAACGCCGCGUGAAGGAUGAAAUCCUCGGGAUGUAAACUUCGCAAGAACAGGAAGAA